rnacentral:rRNA from 1 species
UACGUAGGGGGCGAGCGUUGUCCGGAAUCAUUGGGCGUAAAGCGCGCGUAGGCGGCCCGGUAAGUCCGCUGUAAAAGUCAAAGGCUCAACCUUUGAAUGUCAGUGGAUACUGCCGGGCUAGAGUCCGGAAGAGGCGAGUGGAACUCCUGGUGUAGCGGUGGAAUGCGCAGAUAUCAGGAAGAACACCGACGGCGAAGGCAGCUCGCUGGGACGGUACUGACGCUGAGGCGCGAAAGCGUGGGGAGCGAACAGG